rnacentral:rRNA from 1 species
GGGUUUACCCAUUGGUCAGGCUUAAUUGUCUGUACUGGUGAGAUAAAUCUCUACCUUCUGAGGAACUUUCAUGCCAUUUAUUUGGUGUGAUGGGAAAUCAGGACUGUUACUUUGAGAAAAUUAGGGUGUUCAAAGCAGGCAUACGCCCGAAUACAUUAGCAUGGAAUAAUAAAAUAGGACGUGCGGUUCUAUUUUGUUGGUUUCUAGAGUCGCCGUA